rnacentral:rRNA from 1 species
CGGCGGACGGGUGAGUAACACGUGGAUAACCUACCUAUAAGACUGGGAUAACUUCGGGAAACCGGAGCUAAUACCGGAUAAUAUAUUGAACCGCAUGGUUCAAUAGUGAAAGACGGUUUUGCUGUCACUUAUAGAUGGAUCCGCGCCGCAUUAGCUAGUUGGUAAGGUAACGGCUUACCAAGGCAACGAUGCGUAGCCGACCCGAGAGGGUGAUGGCCACACUGGAACUGAGACACGGUCCAG